CGGGACGGGUGAGUAACGCGUGGGUAACCGGCCUCAUACAGGGGGAUAACAGUUAGAAAUGACUGCUAAUACCGCAUAAGCGCACAGUACCACAUGGUACGGUGUGAAAAACUACCGGUGGUAUGAGAUGGACCCGCGUCUGAUUAGCUAGUUGGUGAGGUAACGGCUCACCAAGGCGACGAUCAGUAGCCGACCUGAGAGGGUGACCGGCCACAUUGGGACUGAGACACGGCCCAA
rnacentral:rRNA from 1 species